UGUCAUUCUAGAAACACUUUCCAGUAUUUCUACUUUGUUACGACUUAUUCCAACUUAAAAAUGAAAGUGACGGGCAAUAUGUACAUAUUUUAAUUAUUAAUCAUCUUAAUAAAUUAAUUAAAAUUACAUUUAAAUCCAAAUUUAAAAUCAUUUUCAAUUCAUUAUCCAUUUAAAUUAAUUUAUUGUAAUCCAUAUUUUCUUAAUUAUAAUCUACAUCUUGAUUUGAAUUAAUUUUCAUUCUAAUUUUUAAAUAUUAUUUUUAUUUUAAAAUAUUUUUUUAACAACGAUAUAUAAAAUUUUUAAUUAAGUAAAUUUAUUCGUGUACUAUCAAUUAUAAAACAGAUUCCUCUAAAUAAACUAAAAUACCGCCAUAUUAUUUAAGUUUCAAUAUUUUAUAUUUACUAUUUUAGUAUUUUAUAAUAAUUUUUAAUAAUAGGGUAUCUAAUCCUAGUUUAUUAUAAAAUUUAUUAAAUCAUAUAUUUUUAAUAAAUUUAAAUUAAAUUAAAAUUUCACUUAAUAAUUUAAUAUUUAAUUUAAUUAAUUAUAUUUAUUAUAAACUAUAAAGAUUUAAUUUAAUUUUUGUAUAACCGCAACUGCUGGCACAAAAUUAGUUAUUAAUUAAUAUAUUACUAAAUCUUAAUUUCUUAAAUUUUUAAUUUUAUUUACUACAAAUAAUUAAUAAUUAUUAAAAUAAUUAAAUUUUUAUACUAAAAUUUAUAUGUAAAAUAAAUUCAUAAUAAAUCAUAUAAAACAUAAUUUUUUAUAUUAUA
rnacentral:rRNA from 1 species